CUAGCCAACAGAUAUAUAAACCAGCUCCGGACAAAAUUUCUAGAUGAAAGCCUGGGAUGUGUUCCUCUGAAGACACAUGUAAGGAUGGGAAGCACUGCACGCUGGGAAACCGACUAGAGAGCCUCCGAAUGGAGCCAGAUGUUGCUGAUGAUGGAGCUGGAAGCUGGGCUGGAGGAUGGUCCCAGGACAGCGACCACGCCCUUGGGGAGAAUCUGACACACUGCAGCCGGCAGCAGGACAGAGCAUGGGGAGCAGGAGAGGAAACAGGGCGCUCAUCAGGCGGGGCGUGGGCUUCAGCCUCGAGUCCUCCGAUCUUCCCCUGAUGGCCCCUCACCUCCCACCCACCCCCAUCCUGGUCCCCUCUCCCAUCCUUCCAAACCCAGUACCUCUCCUCCCCUGGACCACUGGGCUCCAGGACACUUUUAUUAGAGUUUAUGGAUGGUAUUAAAUGAGGAAAUGACCUAGGUUAUUUCAA